rnacentral:lncRNA from 1 species
CGGCCGCCGGGACAACAAAAUUUGGUGGAAUGGGCUAAGCCAUCGCUUACCAACAAGAGAAAGCUAAAGAAAAUCAUGGACCCACGACUAAGGGACCAAUACCCAUUAAAAGCAGCAGCCCAAGCAGCCGAGCUUAUACUCAAAUGCCUGGAAUCUGAUCCCAAAAAUAGGCCAUCCAUGGAAGAGGUGCUAGAAACCUUGAAACGCAUCAAUGAAAUCAAGGAAAAACCAAAUAGCAAGGAAGUUAAAGUUGCCACGAAUCAACCUCAGCUUCACCAUCAUCGGUCUCCGUAUCACCCCAAACAUGGCGGGGCCGGCGCCGGCAUCGGAGCUCGAACUCCUCGACAUGGGCGUAUGGAUAGGAGAGGUCGACAGUUGACACCAAAGGUAGGUUGAGUGGAAAGUCUUGUAAUAUGAUAACUUUUGUUGAUGUAAAGGCCCAAUAUCAGGCCCAAUUAUUUUAUUUUGUUGGCGCUUGGUGCAUGAAACUCCUCUCCUUGUUGGAAAAGAAAAGAAAUUCCAAGUUUUUAACUUUUAGUGAUAAUGGAGACUUAAUUUCUAUUUGUGUUGACCAAAAAACGUAAAGAAGUAAAAUAGAUAAAUAAACUAUUUUGUUUUAUCUUAGUGGGACAAGGCACCUCUUGAGGGGCAAUGACAUAUUCAUGGAUCCAAAUUCAAGUCUCCCCACCCACUAUUCAAGUGGUUAAGAUAGACUAACAUACCCGUAUUACUUGAGUUUGCCUUAAUAUAAGAUAUUCUUAAUCUCAUGAUAAUUAAGUUAUUCAAACAUGAAGAUGAUGGAGAAAAAAAAUGAGAUGCUCAUUCUCACUCUUUAUUUAUGUGUCAACUUGUAUAUAUAAAUUUUACCAAAAAAAUAAAUAUGAUAUAAAGUGAUAAGGUAAGGAAGAUCAGACAUUACCUAUUUAUAUAUAUAUAUAUAUAUAUAUAUAUAUAUAUAUAUAUAUAUAUAUAUAUAUAAAAAUAGGUAUUUGCUUUUUUUUUUUUGUAAAGAAAGGAAAGCCUUGAGGUUAUUUUGCUUUUAUGUUUAAGUCUUGUUGAUAAACCUCAUUCCUUUUGUUUCUUUCCGUUCUUUUAAUCAAAUUGUCAUUGUUAUAUAGCUAUUUUGAUAAAAAUAAAUUUAAAAUUUAAAAUUUACUUUUAUUUUUUUAUAUAACUAGUAGUUUUCCCAUUCACUCAAUUACUAGCAUCAUAAUGGCAUAGAUACAUAUAUUGUUUUAAAAAUUGGCAAUUGUAAUUAAUAUCACUCAAUCACUCAAUUGUAAUUUUUUUCUCUUAAACUUAUGAGAACCAAACAUAAAAUUAUUGAGCUUAAAAAUAAAGUUUUGUGUUGCUAGAAGCCCAUCCAAACAAGGCUUUAGAUUGUUAUAGGUUCAAAGUUCAAACAUUAUUUUAUAGCCUAAAACUAAGUCUCACUCUUUGAAAGUCUGAUAAAUCAAUUCAACGGCUUAAAGUAAUUUAAUAAUUUAAUUUAAUAUAUUAAGUAGAUUAAAUAUAUUUGAUAAAAUAAUUUAAUAUCUAAGUUAAGGGCCUUUGUUUUUUAAAAUUUUUUGUUAAAGUAAUUUGCUUUUAGAUUUUAGUCGUUUAUUUUUCUGUUUUUUCAUAAUUUAUUGUAAAUUUUUUGCUAAAUAAAAAAAAUAAAAUAUUGAUUCUAUUUAUUUAUUAAUGCUUAAUAAAAUUAAAAUAUUAUAAAAACAAAUAAACUAUUACUUAAUACUAUGAAAUACUACUUAAUUUUAAGGUCAUAGAAAAAACAAGCAACAUAGUGUUAUCAAACACCCACUCUAAGUGGGACUGACUGUAAGCCCAUUCAACUCCAACUUAGGAAGCCCUUGGUUUGGACAAGCCCACACAAUCAUUGGACCCUGGUGGCCUGGCCCAUUUAAAUAUAUUAUCAAUCGAAUUACCCGGAUUAUUGGCUCACCUUCACCUGGAUCUAUAUAAAGUUAUAAACUAUUCUAAUAAGCUUGCGUGCUAAUAAUAAUUAACACGUACAACAUGCAAGCCAUAGAUUCACUGUAAACCAACUGAUCCAGUUUACAAAUAAAUAAAUAAAAACAUAGUAAUAAUAAUAUAUACAAUCCAUGUUAAGGCCCAAAUUAAAUUUAAAUACAAAAUUGGAAAAAAAAUUCCAAAAGAAAUGAAAAAUAAGUAAUUAAAAUGUAGCAAUCGAGUUUAGGAACAUGAUUCCAUAUGAUGCACGCUGACCUGCCCCUUUCCUAGAGUGCUCCUUUAUAUGAUAGAUAUAGUUUUAAAAAGUUUAAAAGUCUGCAUAUAUUUGAUGGUGGGUGGACCCUCUGGUCAUGAUGCUCUUGGAUCCCGGUGGAAAACGCCGCCGAUGCGUUUUGAUUGGUUAAUCAUGAUGCGAUGAUGGUGAAUUAUUAGCUUUCAUGGUAUUUAGAAUCGGAAGCUGUUUCUUAAGUUGGGGACUUUACGUGCUUUUUAUUUAGCAUUAAAAAAAUAAAGAAAUAUCUAAUAUAUUAAUUUUUUUAUUUUUUUUAAAAUUAAAAUAUCUAAUUUUUUAUAUUUAAUAAAAAAAUUAUAAUAAAUGAUACAAAAUAUUUUUAAUAAAAGGUUAAAAAACCAAACACGUUCAAAGUUCAAGGACUAAAUUCAUAUGAGUAAAAUAAUUAUCUUAGAGAAUAUAAUUAUUUUUAAUUUUAAUUUUUUAAAAAUUGAAAACAAAAGUGGGUGUUGAGGCCUCGCAUCCCUGUGAUCCAUGUAGUUGCUAAAUGGACGCACACUUUCAACCAAUAUUGAGUUCUGGUUCAGUCGUCACUGCAAAAGAUGUCCGGACAGGGUGUCUGCACACACCCUCCGAUGGUUUUGUCAACCAUGGUUAGAGAGAUAAAGCAGUUGACUUUUUACUAGGUAUAGCAAGCUUACCUUCUUCCUUGAAGGUUCAUAUAUAUAGUGACAGAAGCUUUGUCUCCCUCUUUAAUGGUGGGAAGACUUUUUAGCUCGUCAUGAUGCUUCUAGGUGGGGGCAGGGCCAUCAUCACCUUUAGGGCGGCUGUCAGAGAUUGUGGGAAGCGACGCGACUGUCAGAGAUCGUAUGAGGUGACUUGCCAUCAUUCCUGCCAUCUCGCUCUGCAGGUGGCGGAACGAGGGCCGUGGCAGGCUGUCGGAAUAACGUAGUAAGACUUGCUUGCUUUAGUUAAUGAUUCGGACAAACAUAUCCGGAUAGGAUAUAUCGGUCGUCCGGAUGUGAUGUUUACGAGUGUCGUGUACUUCUUCUUGAGAGAGUCGGGAAGCGCGCCACGUGUCCUCUUAGAAAAAUCCGGAUGGAACUGAUCCAAAUAGAAAUACGCGUCGUGUCAUUAGAGGGAGGGGUCCCACAUGUACAAGUGUUAUUGUAACGUGUGAUCAAUACGAGUCAGCAAGAAAGGUUGCACCCUUUUUCAUUAGGGGAAAACCCUCUACAAGGAGAAUUUUAUCACGGUACGGAUACAAUGAAUUCACUGGAACUCUACAAAAUGUGGAGUGCGUCUCCCUCGAAUACGGAUGGUGUAGAGGGGGACACCGAGAGGCAAAUGGGCCCUGCAGAACCCAGAAUUUCUCCAUGGAAAUGAGCAUGGAUUGACUUUUAAUGUUUUUUUCUUUUUUCCGCCUUAAUUCUCUUUUCAAUUUCACAUUUUUGAGAAAAUAACGUACAAAAAGGGGCUUGUGAGUUGUGACUCUUAUGAACAGGUACAGCCCACAAAAAGUCUGAACGACCCAAGACUGACUCUGACCCUCUGUAUCUCCAUCUCUCUCACUUGGUUUCUUUCCUUCAUCCUCCCUCUGUAUUACGGGGAAUCUGUUAAAUGGGAAAAAAAAAUCUAUUUCCACAUCGAUCUGCUUCUAAAUAGCUAAAAUUCAGAAAGAGAAAGCUCUGAAGCUAAAAAAGAGAGACACCACCAUCAUCCCAUCGAUAUGGGUAACUGCUGUGGAGCUCAAGCGAACGUAAACCCAGCGUCCAGAAAACCUCCCAGUCCAGGUAAUUCAACCUUCUUCUUCUUGGGUCCUUCAAUUUUCUGCGGAUUUUCCGAGAAAACCAAGGUGGGAGAAGAAGAAGUUUUUGUUCUGAUUUGAAAAACGUCGACUUAAUUCCUCAUCUUACUUUCCCUUCCUUUUACUGCAAUUUUUGAAAUGGGUUGAUCGAAGAAACCGUCUUUUAUGGGUCUUUUAGCUUUUGAUGAUGACUUUUACACAUAACUUUUAUCAGCAGAGCUGUCGAAGAAUAACAUCAAACAAGAUAAAUCGAUCAAAGAAAGAAGCGGUAGUGGCAGUGGAAAUGGCAGCUCCAAUGGUGGCGAAAAAACCGAGAUAGCUGAAACGGGGACAAUCAUAACGCCCAAUUUGAAGAUGUUCACUUUCGCAGAGCUGAAGAGCGCCACCAGAAACUUCAGACCACACACGAUGUUGGGUGAAGGAGGUUUUGGCAGGGUUUUUAAGGGAUGGGUCGAUGAAAAGACUUACGCCCCGACCAAGGUCAGCGUCGGCAUACCAGUUGCAGUGAAGAAAUCCAAUCCAGAGAGCGAACAAGGGCUCAAAGAAUGGCAGGUGAGUUGAACCAGUCAUAGAUAAAAAUAAAAAAAAAUUAUUAUAAAUUACGACAAAAAUUUUCUCUACAUAUAUUCAUAUAUUUGGUGUGUGUUUUUAGUGUCUAUUUUUAAAAUUAAAAAAAAAAUUGAAAUUUCAAACACUUUAAAAGUGAAUGGAGUACAUAAAAUCCUAAUUAUUUGAAUAUUUUGAAUUAAAUAUAUAAAAUCUAGAUUUUACAAAUUUAUUUUACAUUUUUCAUUAUUUUUCCAAUAAAAUAUAUCCAUCAAAAGACACUUUUUCCCCCUAUGUUUUUUUUUUUUUUAGAAAAAAAAAACUUAUUCUCAAAUGUGACAUAAAUCCUUAAUUUUUUUUGGUGAAUUGAUUAAAAGACCAGAGUGACAGCCCUAUAUACUUUUUAAAAAUUAUGUUCACAUGGUCAAAUGAGAAAUGAUGAAGAGAUAAUUCAAAUAAACUUUUUCCACCUUGAUUUCAAGUUUGACUUGGCUUUGUAGAUAAAUUCGAUCUGAAAGUCUUGAACGUUUCCUCUUGUAUUCCAAUAUUUUAAUUAUUUUCCAGGAAAAUCGCUUUCCCGCAUAAGCACUUAUAACCUAUUGUUAGACAAAAUUUAAAACAUCAUUUAAAAUAAUAAUUUAAUUAAAAAUACCCUUUGAAGUUAGAUAUUAAUAAAAUUAUAAACACUUUCUAAUAAUUAAAAAUUUUCACACUAAUCACUUUUUUAUCCUUGUAUUCUAUAUUUAAAAUAUUUUUAUUUUUAUUUUAUAUUCCAACGUCAUUUUAUUUUCCAAUGAAAUAUUUCUUAUAAAAAUGCCAUUAUAUUGAAAUCUCUGUAAAUUAAAAACAUUUUUAUCAAAAUUACUUCCCCAUGGCAUUUGGAUUGAAUUUGAUCAUACAAAUUUUUGGGUGCAGUCUGAGGUGAAAUUCUUGGGAAAAUUCACUCACCCCAACCUUGUGAAGCUUCUGGGUUACUGUUGCGAGGAUCAGCAAUUCCUCCUUGUUUAUGAGUACAUGCACAAGGGAAGUUUAGAGAAUCAUCUUUUCAAACGUAAGAAGCCUUUAUUUUCCUGAAUGGGAACAAUUAAUAUAGGAAGUGUUUGGCAACUGUUUUAAUGGGAACAAUUGAUAAUGCGUUGUAAUGCGGAUAUUGCAGUUGGAGGAGCAGAGUCACUUACAUGGGAAAUUCGCCUUAAAAUAGCAAUAGGAGCAGCUCGAGGUCUAGCCUUUUUACACACUUCUGAGAAGACAGUCAUCUACAGAGACUUCAAGUCCUCUAAUAUUUUGUUGGAUGGGGUAAUUAAAUAAUUCAAUUUAUUCAGUAUUGUGAUACAUUGUGUGCGUUACUAUUAUUAUUUUUUUUCUAAAUUUGAAGGGGUUUUUUAAUUAUUUUUUUUAUAGGAUUACAAUGCCAAACUUUCAGAUUUUGGGUUGGCAAAAUUAGGCCCAUCGGAUGGUGAUUCACACGUGACAACUCAAAUUGUUGGCACCUAUGGCUAUGCAGCACCAGAAUAUAUUGCCACAGGUAAAUAUCAUAUCCUUCAUACUAUAUUAAACUCGAAAAACUUAAAAUUAUUACAAUUGUAACCUAGAAAUAGCUCACUUACAUUGUCGUACGUUGUUACCUAAUAAUUUAAGUUUUUAAGUCAAAUUAUUAGCUUAAUAUUGUAUUAAAAUCUUAUUUUAAAUAGGAUAAUCAGGUUAAGGCCUAUUAGGAAGUGAUAGUUUAACAUUACUGUUUGUUUGGAUAGGUCAUCUGUACGUGAAAAGCGACGUAUAUGGUUUUGGAGUAGUUCUAUUGGAAAUGCUGACAGGCAAACAGACCCUUGACAUAAACCGACCACCGGGGCAACUGAAUUUGGUGGAAUGGACUAAGCCAUUGCUCCCUAACAAGAGAAAGCUAAAGAAAAUCAUGGACCCACGGCUAAGGGACCAAUACCCAUUAAAAGCAGCAACCCAAGUAGCCGAGCUUAUACUCAAAUGCCUAGAAUCUGAUCCCAAAAAUAGGCCAUCCAUGGAAGAGGUAUUAGAAACCUUGAAACGCAUCAAUGAAAUCAAGGAAAAACCAAAUAGCAAAGAAGCUAAAGCCGCCACGACUCAACCUCAGCCUCACCAUCAUCGGUCUCCGCAUCGCCCAAAACAUGGCGGCACUGGCGCCGGCAUCGGAGCUCGUACUCCUCCA